GGGAUAACGUUCCGAAAGGAACGCUAAUACCGCAUACGUCCUACGGGAGAAAGUGGGGGAUCUUCGGACCUCACGCUAUCAGAUGAGCCUAGGUCGGAUUAGCUAGUUGGUGAGGUAAAGGCUCACCAAGGCGACGAUCCUUAGCUGGUCUGAGAGGAUGAUCAGCCACACUGGGACUGAGACACGGCCCAGACUCCUACGGGAGGCAGCAGUGGGGAAUAUUGCACAAUGGGCGCAAGCCUGAUGCAGCGACGCCGCGUGGGGGAUGACGGCCUUCGGGUUGUAAACCGCUUUCGCCUGUGACGAAGCGUGAGUGACGGUAAUGGGUAAAGAAGCACCGGCUAACUACGUGCCAGCAGCCGCGGUAAUACGUAGGGUGCGAGCGUUGUCCGGAAUUACUGGGCGUAAAGGGCUCGUAGGUGGUUGAUCGCGUCGGAAGUGUAAUCUUGGGGCUUAACCCUGAGCGUGCUUUCGAUACGGGUUGACUUGAGGAAGGUAGGGGAGAAUGGAAUUCCUGGUGGAGCGGUGGAAUGCGCAGAUAUCAGGAGGAACACC
rnacentral:rRNA from 1 species